rnacentral:rRNA from 1 species
UACGUAGGGGGCUAGCGUUGUCCGGAAUCAUUGGGCGUAAAGAGCGUGUAGGCGGUCCGGUAAGUCCGCUGUGAAAGUCGGGGGCUCAACCCUCGAAUGCCGGUGGAUACUGUCGGGCUAGAGUGCGGAAGAGGCGAGUGGAAUUCCUGGUGUAGCGGUGAAAUGCGCAGAUAUCGAGAGGAACACCAGAGGUGAAGACGGGUUGCUGGGCCGACACUGACGCUGAGGCGCGAAAGCCAGGGGAGCAAACGGG